GACGAACGCUGGCGGCGUGCCUAAUACAUGCAAGUAGGACGCAGUUGCGAACGGGUGAGUAACGCAUAGGUAACUACCUAUUAGAGGGGGCUAAAUACUGGAAACGAUAGCUAAUACCACAUACUAGUAGAAGGACCUGCGUUGUAUUAGCUAGUAGGUAGGGUAAUGGCCUACCUAGGCAACGUGACAUAGCCGACCUUGGGGGGUGAUCGGCCACACUGGGAAUGGGACCAGGCCCAGACGCCUACGGGAGGGAGCAGUAGGGAAUCUUCGGCAAUUGGGGGAAACCUGACCGCGCCACGGCGCGUGGGUGGAGAAGGUUUUCGGAUCGGAAAGGUCUGUUGUUAAGGAAGCGUUACUUAACCAGAAAGGGACGGCUAACUACGUGCCAGCAGCCGCGGUAAUAC
rnacentral:rRNA from 1 species